rnacentral:rRNA from 1 species
AACGAACGCUGGCGGCAUGCCUAACACAUGCAAGUCGAACGAGACCUUCGGGUCUAGUGGCGCACGGGUGCGUAACGCGCGGGAAUCUGUCCUUAGGUUCGGAAUAACUCUCCGAAUGGGGUGCUAACACCGGAUAAUGUCUUCGGACCAAAGAUUGGUCGCCCUUUGAUGGGUUCGCGUUGGAUCGGCUAGUUGGUAGGGUAAAAGCCUACUAACGCGACGAUCUAUAGCUGGUCAGAGAGGAUGAUCAGCCACACUGGGACUGGGACACGACCCAGAGUCCUACGAAACGGAGGAGUGGGGAAUAUUGGACGACGGACGAGUGCAUGAUCCAGCAAUGCCGCGUGGGUGAUGAAGACCUUAGGGUUAUAGCGCUAUUUUCUCCUGGAUGUUAAUGACAGUACCGGAAGAAUAAGCCCCGGCUAAAUCCGUG